rnacentral:tRNA from 1 species
GCGAGAGUAGCUCAGUUGGUAGAGCCCCACGUUGCCAACGUGGCUGUCGCCGGUUCGAGUCCGGUCUCUCGCC